rnacentral:miRNA from 1 species
GGCCGUGUGUGUGUGUGUGUGUGUGUGUGUGUGUGUGUGUGUGUGUGUGUGUUCGCGUGCGCCCGCGUGCGCGCGCCC